rnacentral:rRNA from 1 species
CAGCAGCCGCGGUAAUACAGAGGGUGCGAGCGUUAAUCGGAUUUACUGGGCGUAAAGCGUGCGUAGGCGGCUUUUUAAGUCGGAUGUGAAAUCCCUGAGCUUAACUUAGGAAUUGCAUUCGAUACUGGGAAGCUAGAGUAUGGGAGAGGAUGGUAGAAUUCCAGGUGUAGCGGUGAAAUGCGUAGAGAUCUGGAGGAAUACCGAUGGCGAAGGCAGCCAUCUGGCCUAAUACUGACGCUGAGGUACGAAAGCAUGGGGAGCAAACAGGAUUAGAUACCCGCGUAGUCCCUGUCUCUUAUAC